rnacentral:rRNA from 1 species
AUUGAACGCUGGCGGCGUGCCUAACACAUGCAAGUCGAGCGGUAACAGGUGUAGCAAUACAUGCUGACGAGCGGCGAACGGGUGAGUAAUGCUUCGGAAUCUACCCAAUGGUGGGGAAUAACCAGCCGAAAGGUUGGCUAAUACCGCAUACGUCCCACGGGAGAAAGCAGGGGAUCGCAAGACCUUGCGCCAAUGGAUGAGCCGAAGUCGGAUUAGCUAGUUGGAGGGUAACGGCCUACCAAGGCGACGAUCCGUAGCUGGUCUGAGAGGACGGACCAGCCACACUGGGACUGAGACACGGCCCAGACUCCUACGGGAGGCAGCAGUGGGGAAUAUUGGACAAUGGGGGAAACCCGUACGAUCCAGCGACGCCGCGUGUGUGAAGAAGGCCUGCGGGGUU